GACGAACGCUGGCGGCGUGCCUAAUACAUGCAAGUUGAGCGCUGAAGGUUGGUACUUGUACCAACUGGAUGAGCAGCAAACGGGUGAGUAACGCGUGGGGAAUCUGCCUUUGAGCGGGGGACAACAUUUGGAAACGAAUGCUAAUACCGCAUAAAAACUUUAAACACAAGUUUUAAGUUUGAAAGAUGCAAUUGCAUCACUCAAAGAUGAUCCCGCGUUGUAUUAGCUAGUUGGUGAGGUAAAGGCUCACCAAGGCGAUGAUACAUAGCCGACCUGAGAGGGUGAGCGGCCACAUUGGGACGGAGACACGGCCCAAACUGCUAGGGGAGGCAGCAGUAGGGAAUCUUCGGGAAGGGACGAAAGUCUGACCGAGAAACGCCGAGGGAGUGAAGAAGGUUGUCGGAUCGUAAAACUCGGUUGGUAGAGAAGAACGUUGGUGAGAGUGGAAAGCUCAGCAAGUGACGGUAACUACACAGAAAGGGACGGCUAACUACGUG
rnacentral:rRNA from 1 species